rnacentral:rRNA from 1 species
UAGAGUUUGAUCCUGGCUCAGGACGAACGCUGGCGGCGUGCCUAAUACAUGCAAGUCGAGCGAAUCGAUGGGAGCUUGCUCCCUGAGAUUAGCGGCGGACGGGUGAGUAACACGUGGGCAACCUGCCUAUAAGACUGGGAUAACUUCGGGAAACCGGAGCUAAUACCGGAUACGUUCUUUUCUCGCAUGAGAGAAGAUGGAAAGACGGUUUCGGCUGUCACUUAUAGAUGGGCCCGCGGCGCAUUAGCUAGUUGGUGAGGUAAUGGCUCACCAAGGCGACGAUGCGUAGCCGACCUGAGAGGGUGAUCGGCCACACUGGGACUGAGACACGGCCCAGACUCCUACGGGAGGCAGCAGUAGGGAAUCUUCCGCAAUGGACGAAAGUCUGACGGAGCAACGCCGCGUGAACGAAGAAGGCCUUCGGGUCGUAAAGUUCUGUUGUUAGGGAAGAACAAGUACCAGAGUAACUGCUGGUACCUUGACGGUACCUAACCAGAAAGCCACGGCUAACUACGUGCCAGCAGCCGCGGUAAUACGUAGGUGGCAAGCGUUGUCCGGAAUUAUUGGGCGUAAAGCGCGCGCAGGUGGUUCCUUAAGUCUGAUGUGAAAGCCCACGGCUCAACCGUGGAGGGUCAUUGGAAACUGGGGAACUUGAGUGCAGAAGAGGAAAGUGGAAUUCCAAGUGUAGCGGUGAAAUGCGUAGAGAUUUGGAGGAACACCAGUGGC